rnacentral:rRNA from 1 species
UACGGGGGGGGCAAGCGUUGUUCGGAAUUACUGGGCGUAAAGGGCUCGUAGGCGGCCAACUAAGUCAUACGUGAAAUCCCUCGGCUUAACCGGGGAACUGCGUCUGAUACUGGAUGGCUUGAGUUCGGGAGAGGGAUGCGGAAUUCCAGGUGUAGCGGUGAAAUGCGUAGAUAUCUGGAGGAACACCGGUGGCGAAGGCGGCAUCCUGGACCGAUACUGACGCUGAGGAGCGAAAGCCAGGGGUGCAAACGGG